AUACGUAGGGGGCGAGCGUUGUCCGGAAUGAUUGGGCGUAAAGGGCGCGUAGGCGGCCUGUUAAGUCUGGAGUGAAAGUCCUGUUUUCAAGAUGGGAAUUGCUUUGGAUACUGAUGGGCUUGAGUGCAGGAGAGGUUAUCGGAAUUCCCGGUGUAGCGGUGAAAUGCGUAGAGAUCGGGAGGAACACCAGUGGCGAAGGCGGAUAACUGGACUGCAACUGACGCUGAGGCGCGAAAGCGUGGGGAGCAAAAAGGAUUAGAUACCCUGGUAGUCCACACGGUAAACGAUGAAUGCUAGGUGUAAGAGGUAUCGACCCCUUUUGUGCCGGAGUUAACACAAUAAGCAUUCCGCCUGGGGAGUACGGCCGCAAGGUUGAAACUCAAAUGAAUUGACGUGG
rnacentral:rRNA from 1 species